CCGAGCUAUCCCUCACUCUCUGCUCUCUAUUAUAUGCAUAGUGAAAGGGAUUUAGGAUUUUAGGAGACCGUGAUGAACUUAGCGGGAACUCCAGUAAUACCACCUUCAAUUUCAAUCUUAAAAGCUUUGCAGCUUAAAAGUUGUGUCAUCAAUGGCUUCCAAUCCAUCUGGGGACUCAAACAAGCUCAUGCUCGCCUCUUGCGCCUUGGAUUAUGCCAUGAAAACCAUCUCCUCAAUGCACUUUUGGGUAAUUACUUUCAAUUUGGCAACACCCAAAAUUCUAAACUGUUUUUCGAUCAAAUCAAAGAACCCAAUAUCUCUCUUUUCAAUACCAUGAUUAGAGGUUUAGUUUCAAGUGAUUUAUUUGAAGAAUCUAUCAAAUACUAUCAUUUUAUGCGCAUAGACGGGUUAUUACCCAAUAGUUUCACAUGCCCAUUUGUUCUAAAAGCUUGUGCAAGGAUUUUUGACUAUAAAUUGGGAUUGAAGAUUCACAAUCUUGUUGUGAAACUGGGUUUUAAUGGAGAUGUUUAUGUGAAUACAAGUUUGGUAUGUAUGUAUGCGAAAUGUGGGAGUAUAGGUAAUGCACAGAAGGUGUUUGAUGAUAUGCCUGAGAAAAAUGUAGUAUCUUGGACUGCUAUGAUUAGUGGGUAUCUAAAUGAUGGACAGUUUUAUGAAGGUGUGAGCUUGUUUAUAAGCUUUUUAAAUAAGGGUUUGAAAGCAGAUGGUUUCACUCUUGUUAGGAUUCUUUGUGCUUGUGCAGAGUUGGAGGAGCUCGAGUUUGGUGAGUGGAUUCACAAGUAUAUUAGUUCAAAUGGGAUGGGGAAAAAUGUGGUUUUGAGUACGAAGUUGAUUGACAUGUACGCCAAGUGUGGUUGUAUGGACAAAGCAAAAGGUGUCUUUGAUCAGAUGGUUGAUAAGGAUGUAAUUUCUUGGACUGCUAUGAUUCGAGGGUAUGUGGCAAAUGAUUUUCCAAGAGAAGCAAUAGACUUGUUCUUUAAAAUGGAGGGGGAGAAUGAAAAGCCCGACUCUUGUGCUCUAGGUGGCGUGUUAAGCGCUUGUACAAGGCUUGGAGCAAUGAAUUUGGGAGAGCGAGCCAUCAACUCUAUGAAGAGAGAAGAGUUGGUGGCCGACCCUGUUCUUGGGACUACCCUAAUUGACAUGUAUGUAAAAUGUGGAAAUACUAGCUCGGCAUGGGAAGUUUUUAAAGAGAUAAAGGAGAGAGAUGUUGUAGUUUGGAAUGCUGCAAUAUCUGGCCUAGCCAUAAAUAACCAUGUUCAGAUUGCAUUUGGUCUCUUUGCCCAGAUGGAGAAACUCGGAUUUAAACCAAAUGGCAACACUUUCCUUGGCCUACUUUGUGGUUGUACCCAUGCAGGUCUUGUUGACGAUGGAUGGACAUAUUUUAAAAGCAUGGAGCGUGUUUUUUCUGUGCCUCCCACCAUUGAGCAUUAUGGCUGUAUGGUUGAUCUUCUUAGUCGUUGGGGUUCUUUAAACAAAGCUCAUCAUUUCAUUCAAAGCAUGCCCAUGGAACCAAAUGCUAUUGUUUGGGGAGCAUUGCUUGGUGGGUGCAGAAUACAUCAGAAUACCCAUUUGGCUGAAUAUGUAUUAGAGCAAUUGGUCCAGUUAGAACCUCGGAAUUCAUUUUAUUAUACUCUUUUGUCAAAUAUAUACUCGGCAAACAAUAAGUGGCAUGAUGCAGAAAGAAUAAGGGUAAGAAUGUAUGAGCAAGGGAUCCAAAAGGUACCAGGAUACAGUUGGAUUGAAGUGCAUGGUAUGGUACACGAGUUUGUAGCUGGUGACAAGUUACAUCCUCUGUCUGAUCAGAUACAUGCGAAAUUAGUUGAGUUGCUGAAGGAUUCGCAAGCAGCUGGUUAUGUACCAACUAAAGACUUUGCUUUGUUUGAUGUAGAGGAGGAGGAGAAAGAACAAUCACUUAAGUAUCAUAGCGAGAAGCUGGCUAUUGCAUUUGGUUUAAUUAGUACUCCUUCAAACCAUGUAAUCAGAAUUGUGAAAAACCUUCGUGUCUGUGGUGAUUGUCAUGCGGCAAUCAAGAUUAUUUCUAGGAUUACGGGAAGAAAGAUUGUCCUUAGGGACAUUAGCCGUUUUCAUCACUUUAUUGAUGGAUCAUGCUCAUGCAAUGAUUAUUGGUAAACUUGCAACAAGUUCGGCAAACAUUUUGGUAAGAUUUCAUUGUAAGCAAGGUAACCAGUUUAGAGUGAUUUAUACAAACAUACAUGGAAGCUUGAACAGGUGUAAGAAAUAACGAAAGAAGGUGAUGUUGUGGUCUAGAAGAGAACUUUUUCUGUUGCGAUCAUUUAUAUUGGGAAUCUUGCCACUGUAACUUAAAUUGUUAUAUCAUACUCUUUUUGCUUGGUUUUUUUAAAGUUGGUUGGGGGAUGUUAAUUGCAUGACUGAAUGCACAAUGCUCUUCAGAUGCAUUAGAAGCAGAGCCAUGAACCUCUGCUUCCAUCUCCCUUGCUUCCUCACUUUCCUUCGUCGACUUUGUUUUUUUAAUCGACACUCCAUCUAUCUUCACUGAGGAAUGAGGUUAUGACUUAUGAGGAUGAUAAUGAUGAAGAUGGGAAAAAGCAUAAAGCUGACUUUUGGAUGAGCUUCCUUGAAUCUUAUUUGACCGAGUGACAGGUUCUUCUUUCGAUUGUAUAUCUUUCGAAGCUCCUGGUUUUAACUUAGAAGAUCCCGAAUCUUAUUACCAGGUUGGUCCCAGAGCUAUUGGAGUUGUUUUGUGCAGAAGAAACGGUGCUUGUUCUACAGUGAUCCAGAAAGGUUGGGACUGAUUACGGUCCUCAGCAGUAUGAGUCUAGAACUGGGUCUCAAUCGUUUAUUGAGCAGCGGCUGAAGUAGUCUCGCGCACAUAGAAAGAUCGGUUGUUCUCGGUGUUCCAAUGGUACUAUUUGUGAGGAAGCUUAAAAAUUGACUUCAUGACGAGAUUGAUUACAGCUUAUGUGACCUGAGAUUCUGUGAUCACCUCAGAAGAAAUGAUGUGCAGAAUAGUGAACCUUUAUCACUUUUAAAGAAUUGAUAUGCCAUUGUGCCAAAUUGUAAAUGAGUUUUUAUUUCUAUGUUUGAUGGUUUUGUGACCAUUAUUUGAACUUUGGAGUAUGAUCAUUUCUCAUUUGGGGUUGAAAUUUUCUUCUUUGCAUCUACACUUUUUUUUUGAGACAUCAAGAGCAUCUACAUUUUAAGGGCUGGUCUUUCUAUUCUU